GACGAACGCUGGCGGCGUGCCUAACACAUGCAAGUCGAACGGAAAGGCCCUGCUUUUGUGGGGUGCUCGAGUGGCGAACGGGUGAGUAACACGUGAGUAACCUGCCCUUGACUUUGGGAUAACUUCAGGAAACUGGGGCUAAUACCGGAUAGGAGCUCCUGCUGCAUGGUGGGGGUUGGAAAGUUUCGGCGGUUGGGGAUGGACUCGCGGCUUAUCAGCUUGUUGGUGGGGUAGUGGCUUACCAAGGCUUUGACGGGUAGCCGACCUGAGAGGGUGACCGGCCACAUUGGGACUGAGAUACGGCCCAGACUCCUACGGGAGGCAACGGUGGAGAAUAUUGCACAAUAGGCGGAAGCCUGAUGCAACAACGCCGCGUGCGGGAUGACGGCCUUCGGGUUGUAAACCGCUUUCGCCUGUGACGAAGCGUGAGUGACGGUAAUGGGUAAAGAAGCACCGGCUAACUACGUG
rnacentral:rRNA from 1 species